ensembl:lncRNA
UCUGGGUUUACACAAAUGCGGUGCAGGGAAGAAUUAGGCUUUUGCAGUUUCAUGUUUCCUUGACCUUUUGAGAGAAGAAUGAAAAAUCUGAUCCAACUGCUACUCCCUGUUACAAUGCUGAAAGAGCAGUGCAAACUUAAUUUGCUGACUCCCGAGGAGCAGAAUUUCAACUUGCCUAUUGAAAAACCUGGGAGAGAGCUGAGGUCUGUAGAGAUCUGAAUAAAGCUGGAUAAUCUGGAUGCCAAACCUCUCUCCCAGCUUGCUGAGGACAAGCACAGUGGAUGGGUUGCUUCUUACCGAGUCUCAGCGCUGCCUGGGAGACGCUGGCGGACGCCAAUCACCACAGUGAAAUGCUGCAUGGCAAUACAAACGCAGCUUUUUUCCCCUUUUGGAGAUGAGCACGUGUCAAUUGAACAAAGGAUGAUAGGAAAGUUUUCUUCCAAAGAUGAGCAAAACAAGGAGCACACUCUGAACAAAGAUCCUCCCAUUCCAUGAAGCUUUGGCAGCUAUAAAACAUCACAGAGCAGCAGCUUCCCAGGGAUGCUUUGGGACUGAGCAACCUCUGGGUUCCCCAGCGGUGCUGAAGAACUCCAACAUUUCUCCGUUUUGAAUAGAGCUGGCAAAAUCCAUAAUUGCUUCCAUUCUGCUUGGCUGGAAAAUAGCAAAAGCCAGGCAUGCUGCCACGGGACUGCUGGGUGCAGAGUGGGUAUGACAGAGGGCUCUGCACCAAGGCUUACCCAACAGAAGUGAAGGCAUCCCACAGCUCAGCCUGGCUUUCAUGAAUCUUUUAAUAUACAUAUAUAUUUUCCUUUUGUGCGUGUAUUUUUUUCCUUCCCUCGAGUGGAGCAGCACCAGUGAGGUGAUGACUUACCUACUGCAGCCUGGGAGAUAGCAAUCUGGAAGGGAUGGUCAUCACACAAUGCCCGAGCAGAGCUUUUCUGGCCCAAAUUUCUCUGAUUACGUUGUUACCUGGUCGGUGAAGAGAACCGUGAAAAACACAAUUACCAGGAAGCCCUGCUCCUUUCCUUGUCUCUUUGUCUCACUGCAGAUUGGGCAUGUGACUCACAGGGAAAUAGAAGAGCUGCCAUUUUCAUUUGUUUGACCCAAAGGGGUGCUGCGUGCCAGUCACACCUAACUGUGGGAAAGCUCAGCCACUGGCUGACAAACCUGAUCACAUCGUGUUUGUAGCUGGCAUUUAGAUGCAUCUGAUGGACCAGAGCAUGGCAUGAAGAACAGGAAAACCUCCGUCCUGCAGACAGCACAGGGAAGGGAGGAUAAAGGUUUGAAUGAGCUUGGUGUGGCGGGACAGAAAUUUUUUUGGCCACUGAUGUAGCAUCAGACUAAAGGGAAAGGGCACAAGCAGGCUUUAACUGUGGGUGUUGGUGACAGACUUGCUCAGUGCAAGCCCAUGUGUGCAUUCUGGGCUGCACAGGAAGACUUGGCUGUGUCCUCAUGGGAUGCACGGCAGGGAAGGAGAACCUCCCCAGUGGACCAAAGGACUGUGUCCUGAGUGAACUGGAUGACAGCUUCCCUGAAGUUAUGGACUGAAGGAGAACUUUUCCAAUUGACUGAGGGAAAACCUCCCCUACUGACUGCCACCCCAAAGCCCUAGCUGAAGACUACAAUGACAAAUGCCUACGAGUGACCAACAUUUGCAUUAUGAAUUGCAAUCAAAAAGAACUGGCUCCAAGUCAGCACAGAUUCCCAGCUGAUUUGAUGGGUAAGCACGCUUCAAUGGGAUGGUUAAAAUGUAUUGUUUGCCUAUUGCACGCUGCAAAAAUAAAUAGCCAAAGCAGGAGAGAACAGACUUUGGCAAGCAAACUGACAACAAGCCAUGCUCUUGAGGAAGGCUCAUGAUUUGGAGGGAACAUUGAGCUGGAAGAGAACAGUGAAUAUAAAUAAGAAUAAAGUUUACCUUCAGCAGCACGAAUGGCAGGGCUGUGAGCCACGUCUCAGACUUUAUCAUUCUUCUGCUGAGGGAAAAGUUUGAAACAUAUUUGCUGUUUUACACUCUGUUGUAUUCUCAUUGUAGGAAGAUAUCAGCCACUGCAGAAAGGUCUUUCAAUAUUUAAGCAUUUUUUGGCCAUCUCUAGUUUGUCAGUUUAUGAGUGACGAGGGAGGACAUCAGGUCCAGCAGAUGAAGGGAAAUCCCACCGUUAGGUCUUGGUGGCUGUCAAACUUUAAGAAGUUUCCCUGCCUCUAGAACAUAAAUAUUCCUGAUUUCUCUGUGCUGAGGGUAUAAUAGUAGGUAAAUGGUACAUGAUACAGCUCUGAUGUGCUGUUUGUGUAACUGUUGGACUUAUAAACUGAAAUGUAUUAGAUCUAUUAUACGAGCAACAUCAUCCAGAAAAUAGAAUACAAUCAUAGAAUCGUAGAAUUAUUAAGGUUGGAAAAGACCUCUAAGAUCAUCUCGUCCAACUAUCCACCUAACACCAAAAUUUCCCACUAACCCAUGUUCCUCAGUGCCACAUCCACACAGCUCUCAAACACCUCCAGGGGCAGUGAGUCCACCACCUCCCUGGGCAGCCUGUGCCACUGCCUCACUGCCCUUUCUGAGAAGAAAUUUCUCCUAAUAUCCAACCUGAACCUCCCCUGGUACAACUUGAGGCCAUUCACUCUCAUCCAUUGCUGUAACCUGGGAGCAGAGGCUGAUCCCCACCUUGCCACAACCUCCUUUUAGGCUGUUGUAGAGAUUUAUAAGGUCUCUACAUCCCUACGUCUCCUC